rnacentral:ncRNA from 1 species
UGGACGGCAACGGGUUUUUGUCGUUUCCUCUGUUUUGGGCCAGCCGAAGCGGAACGACUGUCAGGCUAGCCACGUCCU